rnacentral:rRNA from 1 species
UUGACCUCGAAUCAGGUAGGGAUACCCGCUGAACUUAAGCAUAUCAAUAAGCGGAGGAAAAGAAACCAACCGGGAUUACCUCAGUAACGGCGAGUGAAGCGGUAACAGCUUAAAUUUGAAAUCUGGCUCCCUGCGGAGUCCGAGUUGUAAUUUGUAGAAGAUGCUUUGGGUGCGUGGCCCGGCCUAAGUUCCUUGGAACAGGACGUCGUAGAGGGUGAGAAUCCCGUAUGCGGCCGGGGCGCCUGCCCAUGUAAAGCUCUUUCGACGAGUCGAGUUGUUUGGGAAUGCAGCUCAAAAUGGGUGGUAAAUUUCAUCUAAAGCUAAAUAUGGGCCAGAGACCGAUAGCGCACAAGUAGAGUGAUCGAAAGAUGAAAAGCACUUUGGAAAGAGAGUUAAACAGUACGUGAAAUUGUUGAAAGGGAAGCGCUUGCAACCAGACUUGGGCGUCGCUGAUCAUCCAAAGUUUUCUUUGGUGCACUCGGCGAGGCACAGGCCAGCAUCGGUUGGGGUGGUGGGAGAAAGGUCGUGGGAACGUAGCUCCUUUCGGGGAGUGGUAUAGCCUGCGGCGCAAUACCACCUACUCCGACCGAGGACCGCGCUUCGGCUAGGAUGCUGGCGUAAUGGUUGUAAGCGACCCGUCUUGAAACACGGACCAAGGAGUCUAACAUAUAUGCGAGUGUUUGGGUGCAAAACCCAUACGCGUAAUGAAAGUGAACGUAGGUGAGAACCC